UCAACGGUUUAUCCUUCACCCAUUUUUCUGCACGUCAUCCUGAGGCACAGAUUCCCGGGGCUCCCACAAACAAGAGGAAGUUACUCCACGUUCCUGGGUAGCUGAUCAUCUUAGCAAACUAGAGAACUAUGGACAACCUUUUCUUUCCAAAACACUAUUAGUGAAAACCACUCUAACGUGCUGAAGGCUUUGUCAAAGAACCUAAUCAAAAGCUCUGCUGCCAAAUGUUUGUGACCAGACAAGCGAUUUUACUACACCACCCUCGAGUCAAUCAUCUAGAAAGUAAAAUCUAGAUCCGAAUUGUUUAUUCUUAAUGCUUCUUUUAUUUUUUCUUUUAUCCUUUUCUCCUCCCAACUCAUCUUUUAAAAAUCAUGUUCUAUACUGUCAUACAGUACAUUAGAAUAUAUAUAGGAUUUACCAAAAUACGUGGUUUUUUUUUAGGGGUGGGGAAGUGUGCUUCAAAGCCUGCUUACUGAUGGAAAUCAGCAAUCAAAGUUCUGUUGUCCGCUGCUGUAGAGUCGAGAGGAACAGAUGACAGACCGCUAUCAGGGUUACUGCUGGUUCCCUCUGGCCCUGCACCUUACAGCUUCCCUUUCCGUUAGGUUCUGCAAAUCUAUCCCCUGGAGUCACCACACAUCCGCCUCCAAACCUCACAUGCUCCUCUGCAGCAAACACAUCUACAGCUCACACUGUACUCACUUUUAUGGUAACUUCUAAGAGUGCUCGUCACCUACUUCAUCUGGGGGUUCCUCCUCCUCUUUAAACACAGUAAGUUUGUUAAAAAGCACUUUCUAUGGCUAUUUAAUUUCACCUCCCCCCUCAAGACUCAGUGCAGACUCAUGGGCCAGUUGAUAAAAGCUUUGAGCUCGGCCAGGAGCAGUGGUUCACGCCUGUAAUCCCAGCACUUUGGGAGGCCGGGGAGGGCGGAUCACGAGGUCAGGAGAUCGAGACCAUCCUGGCCAACAU
rnacentral:lncRNA from 1 species